rnacentral:rRNA from 1 species
GAUGAACGCUGGCGGCGUGCCUAAUACAUGCGAGUCGAGCGAACAGACGAGGAGCUUGCUCCUCUGACGUUAGCGGCGGACGGGUGAGUAACACGUGGAUAACCUACCUAUAAGACUGGGAUAACUUCGGGAAACCGGAGCUAAUACCGGAUAAUAUAUUGAACCGCAUGGUUCAAUAGUGAAAGACGGUUUUGCUGUCACUUAUAGAUGGAUCCGCGCCGCAUUAGCUAGUUGGUAAGGUAACGGCUUACCAAGGCAACGAUGCGUAGCCGACCUGAGAGGGUGACCGGCCACACUGGAACUGAGACACGGUCCAGACUCCUACGGGAGGCAGCAGUAGGGAAUCUUCCGCGAUGGGCGAAAGCCUGACGGAGCAACGCCGCGUGAGUGAUGAAGGUCUUCGGAUCGUAAAACUCUGUUAUUAGGGAAGAACAAAUGUGUAAGUAACUAUGCACGUCUUGACGGUACCUAAUCAGAAAGCCACGGCUAACUACGUG